rnacentral:lncRNA from 1 species
CUGUGGAGUUGUUUCUACUGCUGGGAUAUAUAUUGCAUUCUUUUAUUCAGAGCCAGAGGCAGGUACCUGACUAGGAUAUUUGUUCAGCUCUCUUGUAAUGGUGACUUUAUUUUUAUCUCUCUUUUUUAUCUUUUUGGAGAUAUUCUUUUCUGCAUCUCAGACACCAGCCAGAAGGUCUUAGGCUUUUCAUCUGGAUCUUGGAGGCUGAUCAGAGUUCAGAGGUCAGGAAAGAGAGGAGAAACAGGCCAAGAGGACACAAAAUGUAAGUAGAGUUUCCUGGCUGAGGAAGUUGAGGGGGUGCACGCACAAAAUGUUGAAUUGUCUUGUCCGGCUAACUUCCAGUUUUGGGGAAAAUAAGGGCAAAGUAAGUUUAAAGGAGAGAAGCAGAAAAUAAAGGUUUGGAGGAGGAGAAUAAGGGAUGGGGCAGUUGUUUUGCCAAGGCACGGGCAGGUGGCACUGAUGUGUCCCCAAGUAUUUUGCUCUCUUCAGGAAGUUUAAAUGGACCCCUUCAGAGUUGAAUACUUCCCCUGAAGAGAAAAUAUGGAGAAACAGGCUCUUAUACUCUUGGGAGACUGCAGAUACAUUAAUUUUUCUCAUUUUUGUUCCUCCGGG